rnacentral:rRNA from 1 species
GAUGAACGCUGGCGGCGUGCCUAAUACAUGCAAGUCGAGCGAACAGAUAAGGAGCUUGCUCCUUUGACGUUAGCGGCGGACGGUUGAGUAACACGUGGGUAACCUACCUAUAAGACUGGGAUAACUUCGGGAAACCGGAGCUAAUACCGGAUAAUAUUUCGAACCGCAUGGUUCGAUAGUGAAAGAUGGUUUUGCUAUCACUUAUAGAUGGACCCGCGCCGUAUUAGCUAGUUGGUAAGGUAACGGCUUACCAAGGCGACGAUACGUAGCCGACCUGAGAGGGUGAUCGGCCACACUGGAACUGAGACACGGUCCAGACUCCUACGGGAGGCAGCAGUAGGGAAUCUUCCGCAAUGGGCGAAAGCCUGACGGAGCAACGCCGCGUGAGUGAUGAAGGUCUUCGGAUCGUAAAACUCUGUUAUUAGGGAAGAACAUACGUGUAAGUAACUGUGCACGUCUUGACGGUACCUAAUCAGAAAGCCACGGCUAACUACGUG